CUCUUUAUACUCAUCAUAUUUCAAUCUCUAUACAUAAAUUUGUCACAAUACUUAACAAGCUUAAAUCUUAACUCUAAAUUAUAUUCUGCUACUUCCAUCAUGUCCUUAGUGAUCAUAACCUUAUGCUCAAAUACUUGAGUCACAGUCCCUAGAGAUCAUAACCUUAAGCUCUGAUACAAUUUUGUGAUGCUCCAAAUCUAGCAUCGAAUCGAGCAUGCAAUAUUUGUACACUUUCUAGGGCAAGAUUCUAAAGAAUAUACAAGAUCUUAAAAUUCAUUAUAACCUCAAAUUUUCAAUGAAUAAUAAUGAUUUCAAUCCAAGUAAAUAAUAAAAUAUGUACAAU
rnacentral:lncRNA from 1 species